rnacentral:rRNA from 1 species
GUGUCAGCAGCCGCGGUAAUACAGAGGUUCCAAGCGUUGUUCGGAUUCACUGGGCGUAAAGGGUGCGUAGGCGGUCGGGUAAGUCUGAUGUGAAAGCUCCGGGCUCAACCCGGAAAUGUCAUCGGAUACUAUUCGGCUCGAGGGUUGGAGGGGGGACUGGAAUUCUCGGUGUAGCAGUGAAAUGCGUAGAUAUCGAGAGGAACACCCGUGGCGAAGGCAAGUCCCUGGAAAACUCCUGACGCUGAGGCACGAAAGCUAGGGGAGCAAACAGGAUUAGAUACCCCCGUAGUCC